rnacentral:rRNA from 1 species
CAGUAGCCGCGGGAACACGGAGGGAGCUAGCGUUGUUCGGAAUUACUGGGCGUAAAGCGCACGUAGGCGGCUAUUCAAGUCAGAGGUGAAAGCCCGGGGCUCAACCCCGGAACUGCCUUUGAAACUAGAUAGCUUGAAUCCAGGAGAGGUGAGUGGAAUUCCGAGUGUAGAGGUGAAAUUCGUAGAUAUUCGGAAGAACACCAGUGGCGAAGGCGGCUCACUGGACUGGUAUUGACGCUGAGGUGCGAAAGCGUGGGGAGCAAACAGGAUUAGAUACCCCUGUAGUCCCUGUCUCUUAUAC